rnacentral:rRNA from 1 species
GAAGGAGCUUGCUCCUGAUUGAUAAACAUUUGAGUGAGUGGCGGACGGGUGAGUAACACGUGGGUAACCUGCCCUAAAGUGGGGGAUAACAUUUGGAAACAGAUGCUAAUACCGCAUAAAACCUAACACCGCAUGGUGUAGGGUUGAAAGAUGGUUUCGGCUAUCACUUUAGGAUGGACCCGCGGUGCAUUAGUUAGUUGGUGAGGUAAAGGCUCACCAAGACCGUGAUGCAUAGCCGACCUGAGAGGGUAAUCGGCCACACUGGGACUGAGACACGGCCCAGACUCCUACGGGAGGCAGCAGUAGGGAAUCUUCCACAAUGGACGAAAGUCUGAUGGAGCAACGCCGCGUGAGUGAAGAAGGUUUUCGGAUCGUAAAACUCUGUUGUUGGAGAAGAAUGUAUCUGAUAGUAACUGAUUAGGUAGUGACGGUAUCCAACCAGAAAGCCACGGUUAACUACGUGCCAGCAGCCGCGGUAAUACGUAGGUGGCAAGCGUUGUCCGGAUUUAUUGGGCGUAAAGCGAGCGCAGGCGGUUACUUAAGUCUGAUUGUGAAGUCCUUCGGCUCAACCGAAGAAGUGCAUCGGAAACUGGGAAACUUGAGUGCAGAAGA